rnacentral:rRNA from 1 species
GACGAACGCUGGCGGCGUGCUUAACACAUGCAAGUCGAACGGAAAGGCCUCUUUCGGGGGGUACUCGAGUGGCGAACGGGUGAGUAACACGUGAGUAACCUGCCCCUGACUUUGGGAUAACUUCAGGAAACUGGGGCUAAUACCGGAUAGGAGCUCCUGCUGCAUGGUGGGGGUUGGAAAGUUUCGGCGGUUGGGGAUGGACUCGCGGCUUAUCAGCUUGUUGGUGGGGUAGUGGCUUACCAAGGCUUUGACGGGUAGCCGGCCUGAGAGGGUGACCGGCCACAUUGGGACUGAGAUACGGCCCAGACUCCUACGGGAGGCAGCAGUGGGGAAUAUUGCACAAUGGGUGGAAGCCUGAUGCAGCAACGCCGGGUGCGGGAUGACGGCCUUCGGGUUGUAAACCGCUUUCGCUCAUGACGAAGCUUUGUGUGACGGUAGUGGGUAAAGAAGCACCGGCUAACUACGUG